UUUCCGUAGGUGAACCUGCGGAAGGAUCAUUCAUAAUAAGUGUUUUAUGGCACUUUUUUAAAUCCAUAUCCACCUUGUGUGCAAUGUCAGGGUUGAUUUUUCUCUCGAGAGGAUCAACCCCAAACAUCAACUAUAUCUCAACUCUUUGUCUGAAAAAUAUUAUGAAUAAAACAAUUCAAAAUACAACUUUCAACAAUGGAUCUCUUGGCUCUC
rnacentral:misc_RNA from 1 species